AGUGAACGCUGGCGGUAGGCCUAACACAUGCAAGUCGAACGGCAGCACAGUAAGAGCUUGCUCUUACGGGUGGCGAGUGGCGGACGGGUGAGGAAUACAUCGGAAUCUACUUUUUCGUGGGGGAUAACGUAGGGAAACUUACGCUAAUACCGCAUACGACCUAGGGGUGAAAGCAGGGGAUCUUCGGACCUUGCGCGAUUGAAUGAGCCGAUGUCGGAUUAGCUAGUUGGCGGGGUAAAGGGCCACCAAGGCGACGUUCCGUAGCUGGUCUGAGAGGAUGGUGAGCCACACUGGAAGUCAGACACGGUCCUUAGUCAUGCGGUAGUAUCCGUUGGGGAGUAUUGGACAGUGGACGCAGGCCUAAUCCAGCAAGACCGCGUGGGUGAAGAAGGUCUUCGGGUUGUAAAGCCCUUUUGUGGAGAAAAAAAAGCAGCAUGUUUAUACCCCGCUGUUCUGACGGUACCCAAUGAAUAAGCACCGGCUAACUUCGUG
rnacentral:rRNA from 1 species